UGGGGAAUAUUGGACAAUGGGCGAAAGCCUGAUCCAGCCAUGCCGCGUGUGUGAAGAAGGUCUUCGGAUUGUAAAGCACUUUAAGUUGGGAGGAAGGGCAUUAACCUAAUACGUUAGUGCUUUGACGUUACCGACAGAAUAAGCACCGGCUAACUCUGUGCCAGCAGCCGCGGUAAUACAGAGGGUGCAAGCGUUAAUCGGAAUUACUGGGCGUAAAGCGCGCGUAGGUGGUUUGUUAAGUUGGAUGUGAAAUCCCCGGGCUCAACCUGGGAACUGCAUUCAAAACUGACUGACUAGAGUAUGGUAGAGGGUGGUGGAAUUUCCUGUGUAGCGGUGAAAUGCGUAGAUAUAGGAAGGAACACCAGUGGCGAAGGCGACCACCUGGACUAAUACUGACACUGAGGUGCGAAAGCGUGGGGAGCAAACA
rnacentral:rRNA from 1 species